GUAGUGUGUAUGUUGUAUUAGUGUUGUGUAGUUCUGCGCAAAUCUGUUUUGUUAAGAUUUUUAUUAAAAAGUAACUUAUCGAUAUUUUUUAUAUUUGAAGAGUUCUUCUGUUUCGUGGUGGACCUUGGUGGUAUCCUGUCGACAUUCCUUGAGUUCCUUCAGCAGACCGCCCUCGUUGAGCUGGAAGGCACGAAACGUCUGCGCCACGCUAUGCAUAUGCAUACGUCCAGCCCUGGAGCCCGGGUAGCCUGGGACCGUUACUGGCGUGCUUCUAUUCACCCACCUGUUAAUAACAUUUCAGUAUUAAAACACGAACGUAAUGUAUGAACGGGCAGUCCAUCUUGCCAUCGCACAUAUGUGACUGCGAGAUGCACCGCUGGUUUCCGCAGUGCACAUCGCCUGUCCGUUUGCAGACGCGACAGUUGAGUUCGUCAGAUCGGUCUGCGCAGUCCACGUGCCCGU